CCUACGGGAGGCAGCAGUAGGGAAUAUUGCUCAAUGGGGGAAACCCUGAAGCAGCAACGCCGCGUGGAGGAUGAAGGUUUUCGGAUUGUAAACUCCUUUUGUUAGAGAAGAUAAUGACGGUACCUGACGAAUAAGCCACGGCUAACUACGUGCCAGCAGCCGCGGUAAUACGUAGGUGGCAAGCGUUGUCCGGAUUUACUGGGUGUAAAGGGCGUGUAGCCGGGUUGACAAGUCAGAUGUGAAAUCCUGCGGCUUAACCGCAGAACUGCAUUUGAAACUGUUGAUCUUGAGUACUGGAGAGGCAGACGGAAUUCCUAGUGUAGCGGUGAAAUGCGUAGAUAUUAGGAGGAACACCAGUGGCGAAGGCGGUCUGCUGGACAGCAACUGACGGUGAGGCGCGAAAGCGUGGGGAGCAAACAGGAUUAGAUACCCGAGUAGUC
rnacentral:rRNA from 1 species